rnacentral:rRNA from 1 species
AUUGAACGCUUGCGGCAUGCUUUACACAUGCAAGUCGACCGAGUGGCGAACGGGUGAGUAACAUAUCGGAACGUACCGAGUAAUGGGGGAUAACUAACCGAAAGAUUAGCUAAUACCGAAUAUUAUUCGCGCGGCCGAUAUCUGAUUAGCUGGUUGGUGGGGUAAAGGCGUACCAAGGCGACGAUCAGUAGCUGGUCUGAGAGGAUGAUCAGCCACACGGGGACUGAGACACGGCCCAGACGCCUACGGGAGGGAGCAGUGGGGAAUUUUGGACAAUGGGCGCAAGCCUGAUCAAGCCCUGCCGAGUGUCUGAAGAAGGCCUUCGGGUUGUAAAGGACGUUUGUCAGGGAAACGGUACCUGAAGAAUAAGCACCGGCUAACGACGUGCCAGCCGCCGCGGUAAUUC